rnacentral:rRNA from 1 species
AGCGAACGCUGGCGGCAGGCCUAACACAUGCAAGUCGAACGGCAGCACAGUAAGAGCUUGCUCUUACGGGUGGCGAGUGGCGGACGGGUGAGGAAUAUAUCGUAAUCUACUCUUUCGUGGGGGUUAACGUAGGGAAACUUACGCCAAUACCGCAUACGACCUACGGGUGAAAGCAGUGGAUCUUCGGACCUUGCGCGAUUGAAUGAGCCGAUGUCGGAUUAGCUAGUUGGCGGGGUAAUGGCCCACCAAGGCGGCGAUCCGUAGCUGGUCUGAGAGGAUGGUCAGCCGCACUAGAGCUGGGACACGGUCCAGACUCCUGCGAGAGGCAGCAGUGGGGUAUAUUAGGCUAUAGGCGCGAGCAUUGUACAACCAUCCCGCGUGGGAUGAGGAGACGUUCGGGUUGUAAAGCCCUUUUGUUGGGAAAGAAAAGCAGCAGGUUAAUACGAAGCUGUUCUGACGGUAACCAGAGAAUAAGCACCGGCUAACUUCGUG